AUUGAACGCUGGCGGCAGGCCUAACACAUGCAAGUCGAGCGAGCGGCGGACGGGUGAGUAAUGUCUGGGAAACUGCCUGAUGGCUGGGGAUCACUACUGGAAACGGUAGCUCAUACCGCAUACCAUCUGAUGUUCCCCGAUGGGAUUAGCUAGUAGGUGGGGUAAUUCCUCACCUAGGCGACGAUCCCUAGCUGGUCUGCGAGGAUGACCAGCCACACGGGAACGGAGACACGGUCCAGACUCCUACGGGAGGCAGCAGUGGGGAAUAUUGGACAAUGGGCGCAAGCCUGAUGCAGCCAUGCCGCGUGUAUGAAGAAGGCCUUCGGGUUGUAAAGUACUUUCAGCGGGGAGGCGUUACCCGCAGAAGAAGCAACGGCUAAAUACGUGCCAGCAGCCGCGGUAAUAC
rnacentral:rRNA from 1 species